CCUACGGGUGGCAGCAGUGGGGAAUAUUGGACAAUGGGGGGAACCCUGAUCCAGCCAUGCCGCGUGUGUGAAGAAGGCCCUCGGGUUGUAAAGCACUUUCAGUGAGGAAGAACGCCUGGUGGUUAAUACCCAUCAGGAAAGACAUCACUCACAGAAGAAGCACCGGCUAACUCCGUGCCAGCAGCCGCGGUAAUACGGAGGGUGCGAGCGUUAAUCGGAAUUACUGGGCGUAAAGCGCGCGUAGGUGGCUUGAUAAGCCGGUUGUGAAAGCCCCGGGCUCAACCUGGGAACGGCAUCCGGAACUGUCAAGCUAGAGUGCAGGAGAGGACGGUAGAAUUCCCGGUGUAGCGGUGAAAUGCGUAGAGAUCGGGAGGAAUACCAGUGGCGAAGGCGGCCUUCUGGACGGACACUGACCCUGAGGUGCGAAAGCGUGGGUAGCAAACAGGAUUAGAUACCCCAGUAGUC
rnacentral:rRNA from 1 species